rnacentral:rRNA from 1 species
AGUGAACGCUGGCGGUAGGCCUAACACAUGCAAGUCGAACGGCAGCACAGUAAGAGCUUGCUCUUACGGGUGGCGAGUGGCGGACGGGUGAGGAAUACAUCGUAAUCUACUUUUUCGGGGGGGAUAACGUAGGGAAACUUACGCUAAUACCGCAUACGACCUACGGGUGAAAGGAGGGGAACUUCGGACCUUGCGCGAUUGAAUGAGCCGCUGUCGGAUUUGCUAGUUGGCGGGGUAAAGGCCAACCAAGGGGACGAUCCGUAGCUGGUCUGAGUGGAUGGUCACCCACACUGGAAGGGGGACACGGUCCAGACUCCUGCGGGAGGCAGCAGUGUGGAAUAGUGGACAGUGGGCGCAAGCCUGGUCCAGCCAUACCACGUGUGAGAAGAAGGCCUUCGGGUUGGAAAGCCCUUUUGUUGGUAAAGAAAAGCAUCAGGUUAAUACCCCGCUGUUCUGACGGUACCCAAAGAAGAAGCACCGGCUAACUUCGUG